UAGGGAAUCUUCGGCAAUGGACGAAAGUCUGACCGAGCAACGCCGCGUGAGUGAAGAAGGUUUUCGGAUCGUAAAACUCUGUUGUUAGAGAAGAACAAGGACGUUAGUAACUGAACGUCCCCUGACGGUAUCUAACCAGAAAGCCACGGCUAACUACGUGCCAGCAGCCGCGGUAAUACGUAGGUGGCAAGCGUUGUCCGGAUUUAUUGGGCGUAAAGCGAGCGCAGGCGGUUUCUUAAGUCUGAUGUGAAAGCCCCCGGCUCAACCGGGGAGGGUCAUUGGAAACUGGGAGACUUGAGUGCAGAAGAGGAGAGUGAAUUCCAUGUGUAGCGGUGAAAUGCGUAGAUAUAUGGAGGAACACCAGUGGCGAAGGCGGCUCUCUGGUCUGUAACUGACGCUGAGGCUCGAAAGCGUGGGGAGCAAACAGG
rnacentral:rRNA from 1 species